GGAUACAUCCAGAUGAUUUGGUCGGCUGACUGCCUGCCCAUUUUGCUAUUUUACAUCUGCUAAUCGUCUACAUUUGUCCUGUCCGGAUUGAUAGAAAGGGGGAGGUGGUGGGGAAGGAAUGGAAGGAAGACAUGUAAGCAACUUUAGAUGUCUGGUCCAUUUCAGGUAAUCCAUUUGUGAUCCUGAAGAUCCUAGUGAAGACUUUAAAAUCAUUAAGGGAAUGAUCCUAUGUGUUUUAUCACUGUAGAACUAACAACCGUUCUGGAGACUUUAUACAUACAAGUUAUAUCACCUGCAAAUGGAAUCUGCUUAAGAAUUGAAGAGAAGAUUCAUUUUAUUCUUUGAGUACUUAGACAAAGGUAAUGGCAAGAAAACAUUUCAUGCAAGAGUCAAGAUGAGGAUUUAGCACAAGUCAAGAAUUUGGAGUGUGCCACCUUGAAGAAAGAGCAACUUGACUCCUCCUCUUACAUCUCAUGCUUAGGGUAGUUAUGUAAGUAACCAGGAGAGACAAAAGUAAAGCAAAGCAUUUAAUUUUCUUUCCCAGUCCCCAGAGUGAAACUGGCUCUGUCUCUCUUAUCAGUCCUCUUGUAUUGGCUUUCAACUGCUACUGCUUCUGCUCCAAGAAACUCCAAGGUCUACUUGGAAUCAAUCCAUUUAAAACAAGACCAAAUUUUUAUAGUGAAUAGUGGAAAAAGCUUUAAUGGGAAUUUAUUUUUAAAAAUCAAAGUUUAUAAAAAUAUUAUAUUUUAUAUUUAGCAAAAACAGUUAUAAAUAACUAUGAAAUCAUAUAAAAUGAACAAAGAAUAAAUCAAGUUUUGUUUUUUAGUGAAAUUUUUCUAACACACUUGGAAUUGUAUGAUGGCUGUAUUAAAAUUUUCUGUGCCACAAAUUAUGACAAACUUAACUGCUUGAAACAGUAACCACUUGUUAGCUCAUAGUUCUGUAGGUCAGAAGUCCUACCCAGUGGGCUUGGCUAGAUUUUAUGUGGAUUUUAACCACAAGGCCAAAAUCAAGGUGUUAGCCAUUCACGGCUCUUUUCUGGAGUCUCUGGGUAAGAAUCUGGUUCCAAGCCCAGUCAUGUUAUUGGCAGAAUAUAGGUCCCUGUGGUUUUAGGGGUGAGGCUCUGUUUUCUUGCUGUCAGCCUAGAGCCUAAGACUCUAGAAGUUGCCACAUUUCUUGUCAUAUGGCCCCUUCAAUCUUCAUAUAGCAACAGAGAGCAAAUCCUUUUUGCAUUUCAAAUUUCUCUGAUUUCCCUUUGUACUACCAGCCAGAGAAAACUCUCUACUUACAAAGAGCCUAUAUGAUUAGAAUAGAUCAUUGAGAACUAAUCCUUAGAUGGACAGGCUCUUUUUUGCCACAGAAACAACAUAAUUAUGAAAGUGAUAUCUCAUCACAUUCACAGAUUCUUUCCAUGCUCGGAGAUGAGGGAAUUUUAUAACAGCAAAGAUCACUGGGGGUCAUUCUUAGAAUCCUGCCUACCACAGUGACACAAUAUGACAUUGUUUGUAUUUUUAACUUAUGCAGUAAAAUCAUCAUAACAGUCAAAUCAAUAGCACUGUCGGUCUUCUCAAAGGUGAAUAUUUCAAUCUUGGGAUAGUAAAAUUGUUGAUCUUUGAGGUACCUAUCAUGUCAUCCUCUUUGUUUAUUUUUAUACUUUCCAUCUGUGGCAAGUCUGAUUUUCCAGGUCUUCUUUUGUUACUGGCUUUGUUGGUGAUUUCAAUAUUUCUACAUCACUUUUGACUUCUGGGAACCCUGAAUCUUUUGCAAGACUUGCAAUUUUAUUUCACAAUCAAUUUUUCCUUGUUUUGCUGCACUCUGUACAAUAUUCUCCAGUCAAUGAAAGACCAGUGGGUAAAGAUGCUUAGAGCUGUAGUGGGAAGCACUGACAGGUUAAAGUUGUUCCAGGUCACAUAUCUACUCAGUCGAGCAGCUGGGACUGGAAUUCAGUCUGGUUCUCAAAAAGUUAUCCACUCUUAUUUUUUAAAAAUAUUUUAUUUAUUCAUUCAUUAGAGACAGACAGAGAGAGAGAGAGAGAGAGAGAGAGGCAGAGACACAG